GACGAACGCUGGCGGCGUGCUUAACACAUGCUAGUCGAACGGAAAGGCCCUGCUUUUGUGGGGUGCUCGCGUGGCGAACGGGUGAGUAACACGUGAGUAACCUGCCCUUGACUUUGGGAUAACUUCAGGAAACUGGGGCUAAUACCGGAUAGGAGCUCCUGCUGCAUGGUGGGGGUUGGAAAGUUUCGGCGGUUGGGGAUGGACUCGCGGCUUAUCAGCUUGUUGGUGGGGUAGUGGCUUACCAAGGCUUUGACGGGUAGCCGGCCUGAGAGGGUGACCGGCCACAUUGGGACUGAGAUACGGCCCAGACUCCUACGGGAGGCAGCAGUGGGGAAUAUUGCACAAUGGGCGGAAGCCUGAUGCAGCAACGCCGCGUGCGGGAUGACGGCCUUCGGGUUGUAAACCGCUUUCGCCUGUGACGAAGCGUGAGUGACGGUAAUGGGUAAAGAAGCACCGGCUAACUACGUGCCAGCAGCCGCGGUGAUACGUAGGGUGCGAGCGUUGUCCGGAUUUAUUGGGCGUAAAGGGCUCGUAGGUGGUUGAUCGCGUCGGAAGUGUAAUCUUGGGGCUUAACCCUGAGCGUGCUUUCGAUACGGGUUGACUUGAGGAAGGUAGGGGAGAAUGGAAUUCCUGGUGGAGCGGUGGAAUGCGCAGAUAUCAGGAGGAACACCAGUGGCGAAGGCGGUUCUCUGGGCCUUUCCUGACGCUGAGGAGCGAAAGCGUGGGGAGCGAACAGGCUUAGAUACCCUGGUAGUCCACGCUGUAAACGGUGGGUACUAGGUGUGGGGUCCAUUCCACGGGUUCCGUGCCGUAGCUAACGCUUUAAGUACCCCGCCUGGGGAGUACGGCCGCAAGGCUAAAACUCAAAGGAAUUGGCGGGGCCCCGCACAAGCGGCGGAGCAUGCGGAUUAAUUCGAUGCAACGCGUAGAACCUUACCUGGGUUUGACAUGGAUCGGGAGUGCUCAGAGAUGGGUGUGCCUCUUUUGGGGUCGGUUCACAGGUGGUGCAUGCCUGUCGUCAGCUCGUGUCGUGAGAUGUUGGGUUAAGUCCCGCAACGAGCGCAACCCUUGUUCACUGUUGCCAGCACGUUAUGGUGGGGACUCAGUGGAGACCGCCGGGGUCAACUCGGAGGAAGGUGGGGAUGACGUCAAGUCCUCAUGCCCCUUAUGUCCAGGGCUUCACGCAUGCUACAAUGGCUGGUACAGAGAGUGGCGAGCCUGUGAGGGUGAGCGAAUCUCGGAAAGCCGGUCUCAGUUCGGAUUGGGGUCUGCAACUCGACCUCAUGAAGUCGGAGUCGCUAGUAAUCGCAGAUCAGCAACGCUGCGGUGAAUACGUUCCCGGGGCU
rnacentral:rRNA from 1 species